rnacentral:misc_RNA from 1 species
UUAGUGCAGCCACACAUUUUCAAGUGCAACUUGCCGCAAAACUGGUUCGUCUCUCGUCGAGUAUAUGUUGAUCUUUACUCAGAACUCAGUUGUGUGGUGCGGUUCUUACUCAACUGAUCGCUGCACGAUCUUAUCUGAAUCUCCAUCAAAUCAUACGUUUGUUCAAUGCGCGCAUGAAGCUCCAAAUCAGUGCGCGCAAAAAAACGUGAACCAUCCAUAGGCGCCACUCAUGAUUACGAUUGUGGACUACAAUUUACGCGGUUCUCCGCGAUUAUUCUCUAGUGUGACUACUCCAAAACUUGUAAAGUUUAUGACGUUAAAUUUUCUAGAAUAACUUGUUUUCAACGUUAAAUUCUCUACAGUUACUUAUUUUUGUAGUUAGAUUCUCUAGAAUCUAGAGUUUUCAGCGUUAGCUGCUGGUGUUUUUGUGCACAGGUAGAACACAAGGUAAAGUUUUUGACGUUAGAUUCUCUAGUGUGACUUGUUCUCGACAAUAUAGAUUCUCCAGAGUGACUUAUUUUUGUACGGUAGUUAGAUUCUAAGGAAUAUAGAGUUUUUAGCGUUAGCUGGUGCUUUUGUGCACUAUAUUAGAGAACCUGUAAAGUUUUUGAGUUAGUUUUUUUAGUGUGACUUGUUUUCAACGUUAUCAUUCUCCUGAGGACUUGUUUUUGAAGUUGGAAUCUCUGAAAUCUAGAGUUUUUGGCGUGAGUGUAUAUGUUUUUGUGCAAAAUCAACGCAAUGAUCUUCUCGUUUGAACUUGUUUUGUUGAGUCUGUUCAUCCUUGUCUCACACAUCACCACCAAUGCGGCCAGAACAGGUGCAACAUGCAACUCAAACUCGGGCGCAGGCACAUGCAAGCCAAUUGCCCAGUGCAGCCAACUUCCCCGCAUGAGAGCUAGCGGCAAGAGCCCUGUCAUGUGUGGCUUUGACCACACUGGUCCCAUUGUCUGCUGUCCAAGGGUCUUCAGCCCUAGACCCUUUCCUCGACAACCCUUCACCCCCAACAGCAAUCGACCCUUUUUCGAUUUCGACCUCAACGACGAACCCUUCAACACGGCAGAUGACAACAGGAAGCAGACAAAUCUGAUCUACGACAAUCCAGCAAAUAGCUACGACACUCCAGCACUUAUCACUGAUCCCGAGUCUAAUGGUUGGGGUGGUGUGGGCAGGGCUCAGAUGCGGCCCCAAAUUUGGGGCCAGGAGACGACCAGGCGUCCCUCGCUGCACGAGAAACCGGUACAGAACACCUGGCGGCCCCAGAACGGAGCCAAUAUCGGGGAGUCCUCUUUCUCAAACGUUCCGGUGCAGUCGCAGUUCCCAGAUUUGGCGCCUGAUAGUUGGAGCUCUGUCAACAACAACAACAACAAUAAUUUUAACAACAACAACAAUCGAAGACCCCCAUCCAACAACAAUAGCAACAACAAUCGAAGACCCCCAACAAACUCAGGAUCCGGUCUUCGUAGAACGACCACAACUGAAGAGCCGUUCAUCUGGAGUUCAGCGCCUAAGAAAAACAACACCAGAAAUAAACAGGGUGAUAGCGGCUAUGGAAAACCUCGUAUUAGCAGUAUUGUAUGUGAGGAGUACAAGAGAAUGCUGACAAAUGCCCAAUGCUCUGGCCCUCUUCAACUAAUCGUGGGGGGAAGUGAUGCUGAAACUGCCGAAUUUCCACACAUGGUGGCACUUGGCUACAGUAAUCCGACAGAAAUAUCGUGGAACUGUGGAGGCAGCCUUAUAAGCAAGGACUAUGUUCUAACGGCGGCUCACUGCGUCACUCCAAGCAGGAGACCAGUAAAAGUGCGCAUGGGCACACUAAACCUGAACCGGCCUGACGCGACCUAUCAGGACGUAGACGUGAAACGCACGAUCAACCACCCGCGCUGGAGCGACAAAAAGUACUUCGACAUUGCGCUCUUGGAGCUCAGUUGGCCCGUACACUUCACUGCGCAUGCGCAUCCCGCCUGUCUUGCGCAGCCCGAUGAUGACGUCACCAGAGCCACCGCUACUGGGUGGGGCAAGCGCAAUAUAAUUGAACAAUCCGCGACAGAUAAACUUCAAAAAGUUGACAUCAAUGUGAUCAGCAAUGAAGAGUGUCGAAGGAUUUUCAGGAAUCCCGCUUUGACCCAGGGCAUAGUCGACGAAAUGGUUUGUGCAGGGGGAAAUGGCCGGGAUACUUGUCUGGGUGACUCAGGAGGACCCCUGCAGUUCACCAGAGACAGCAACAGAUGUGUGUACCACGUGUACGGGUUGACCUCUUUCGGAGGCAAUGACUGCGGUGAGAUGGGAGUGUACACCAAGGUGUCAUCCUAUCUCAACUGGAUCGAAAAAAUUGUGUGGCCCGAAUAUUUCGACGAAUAUUAACGUUGAUAACUCUUCAAACAAAAUCAGAUAUUGUCCUUAAAAUGUAUGAACUCAGGGCUACUCUCUUUUAUUUAUAGAAUAGAAUUUUUGUAUCCUUUGAAAUUAAUUGAAUAAAUACAUAUUUAUUAAAUAUAUUUUUUUGCAUUCUUAAGGUGCGUACAGACUUUCGCUCUGCUCCGCAAUUGAACGUCACUCUAGCAGAUCGAUUGAUGAUCGACCGGGGAGCAAGAGUGGAAUGCGAGAAGAGCGUGCAACAGAGGUCGCGCUUGUCAAGCUCCUAGGUUGCGGAGCGUGCGUGGGGCGAUUGCGGAGCGAGUGCGGAGCGUGUUGGAGGCGCGUAUAUAUGUACGCACCUUUAAGCUCAACUCACACUUACGCGAUUCAGAUCGAGAAGCGACUCGACUCUAGUGGAGAGCAUGUGUUUCCAAGAUGGUGACACUCAGACCUGUCGAUUCUAGUCUCCGCGCGACGUCAGAGUCGAGUCUUUUCUCGACCUGAGUCGUGUAGGUGUGAGUUGGGCCUUAAUCUAUUAUUUUAUUAAUUUAAAAGGGUACUAUAAUUAUAUUUUAUACGAUAUAAUUAUAUUUUAUACGAAUUAUAUACGAUAGUUGUCAUGCUCUUGUUUGUGUAUUAGUAUGGGUUUAGGUUAUGAUCUGUAGUGCACAAAUGUUGUAUGUCCUAAACCUAACCUUAAAUUGCAAAUGAAUGUUGGACAUACUAUAUGAGUGCACAUAUACAAGAGAGAGUAGACCUAGUAUUUUCAUACACAAUCAUUACAUGUCCAAUCUACAAUAUCUGUGCUCUGAAGGUAUUCUUCUCUGUUCAGCUGGUACUGCAAUUAUUGGACAUGCUACGAGUGUGCAGAGUGAAAUUAGAUCAUAUCGAACUGUGCACUUUUUCCUUUGAUGAUUUUUAAUGUAUUUUUCCUAUUGUAAAAUGGACAUACAAUAUAUAUGAUCUGAAAGAUGAAGUUCUCAGCUUUCCAAAUAUAUAAAAAUGUCGGAAUCAACAAAAAGUGGACAUACAGUGUUUGUGCUUAUAACCGACGAUAUGCUACUCCUACUGGCGAACAAGUGAUUUUCACUUAUGCCAGUGGUUUCAUUUCCACCUCUUGUACCUUUAUUUUGUUGAUAGAAUGUAAGUAAACUAGAUUAAGGUACAUUAUCCUAAAUUUUGUAAUUGUUGAAUUUUGUGGAGGAAAUAAAUUUGAUUUGAAUUUGAAUUGAAUUUUAUAAACAGGUAUUGUCCUACCUGAUCGAAAAAGUAAAGUGGCCCAAGUAUUUUGAGUCUCUGACGAGUAUUAACUUGAAUAAUCGCGUCAUUAUUUGAAGAAAAUCAGGAGUUUUCGUUAGUUUAAACUCUGUAAUCGAGUGGUUAUCUGUCAUGACUCUCUCAGGGUACGAACAGAACGGUCAGCUCGAUAUUCAUCUUUCAGUGUAAGUCACAUUCAGGAUUGACCUUCAUGUAAAACAAACAAAUUGUGAAGCAUAUGAACCAAUAUACCUAGAAUAAUUUCAAGGUAUUUCAUACAUUGUCAUAUCAAUUUUAUGACAAUGCACCUAGGAUACUUUCAAGGUAUUAUAUGAAUGAGUAAUAGUUAGAGUUAGAUUUAGAGUUGAAGGUACAUGUUAGAUUUUUUUAUAUAGAGUUAGAGUUAGAAAUUUUAAAGAAAUUUCUAAUUUUCAUGAAAAAGUGAAUUCGAUACUUACUCGAAUUUAACUGAUAUCACCCUUGAAUUAUUAUCAAGAAUAUAAAAUAAUAACCUCACUAGAGGUUUUUAGAUUUAGUAUAAAUAUUGGGAAGCAAAUUAACCAAUGUACCUAGAAUACUUUCAAGGUAUUAUAUGAAAAUAUAUUAGUUUUUUUUAAAUAAUUUCAUAAUUUUUAUGGAACAGUGAAUCCUUACUCGAAUUUAACUGAUAUCACCCUUGAAUUAUUAUCAAGAAUAUAAAAUAAUAACCUCACUAGAGAUUUUAAGAUUUAGUAUAGCCUAAAUAUUGUGAAGCAAAUUAACCAAUGUAACUAGAAUACUUUCAAGGUAUUAUAUAAAAAUAUAUUAGAGUUUUUUUUAAGAAUUCCAUAAUUUUCAUAAAAAAAUGAAUACCUUACUCGAAUUAAACUGAUAUCAUCCUUGAAUUGUUAUCAAGUAUAUAAAAUAAUAACCUCACUAGAGGUUUUAAGAUUUAGUAUAGCCUAAAUAUUGUGAAGCAAAUUAACCAAUGUACCUAGAAUACUUUCAAGGUAUUAUAUAAAAAUAUAUUGGAGUUUUUUAAAGAAUUUCAUAAUUUUUAUGAAAAAGUGAAUUCCUUACUCGAAUUUAACUGAUAUCAUCCUUGAAUUGUUAUCAAGAAUAUAAAGUAAUAGCCACAUUUAAGGUUUUUAGAUUUAGUUUAGGUUCUGUUCUUAAUGUGAUCAAUAUAAUAGUCCAGUCAAAUGGUCGUUUUUCAGGAAACAGCCCCGAAAGAAUUUUUCUCGACGUUUUUAUAUGUAUUUUGGGGCGCUGAAUUCGAAUCUGAAAUUUGCUGACACGCCAGAGGGCGGCUUCACCCCCAAAACCCCCAAAAUUUAGGACUUUUUUCAAUUUUCCCAUUUUAUCUCGUAAACCUUGAGUUUCUCAAGAAAAAUCAUUCUCGACAAAAUUAAAAAGAAUAACAUUUUCGAUAAAUUGAGUGGUCGCGCCGGAUUCUACCAUUUUUGGUUCCGGAGCUACGAAUUUUCAAAAAAGGGUAUUUUUCAAGGGGUUUUCAAAAUUAUGCAAACCUACCACUUCUACCCUAUACAACUUUGAUAUUUUUCCAGUAUAGAUAAAAAACCACACAUCACGUGAAAGAAAAAUUUAUUCAUUAUGAACAAAAUUCCUUAGGAAUUUCCGAAUUUAGUAGUGGGGGGAGGGGGAAUACAUCCAAAAAUAGAAAAUCAUGUCCUACAGCCAAAAUACAAAGAACAAAAUUAUUUCUGAAUUAAUCAUUUUUAUGAAAAAGUGAAUUCCUUACUCUAAUUUAACUGAUAUCAUUCUUGAAUUAUUAUCAAGAAUAUAAAAUAAUAACCACAUUACAGGUUUUUAGAUUUAGUUUAGGAUCUUUUUCUGAUGUGUUCAAUAAGAACAAAGGUAUUUCUGAAUGACUCGAUUCAGUUUAAGUGACUAUAGUGAACAUUAAAUCUAAAUCAGUAGCAGGUAACAAAUUGUUCUAAAAUUAAAUUGAUCGUUUUUAUUCUAUUCAUCAUUUGAAUUUGCACUCAUGUUUUGAGUCGUUUCAAGUAAUAAAUUAACUAGAAUUAUAUUAUUAGUGUAUUCUUAUAAAACUUUAAAGU